rnacentral:rRNA from 1 species
UACGUAGGGGGCAAGCGUUGUCCGGAUUUAUUGGGCGUAAAGAGCGUGUAGGCGGCCAUACAGGUCCGUUGUGAAAACUGGAGGCUUAACCUCCAGACGUCGAUGGAAACCGUAUGGCUAGAGUCCGGAAGAGGAGAGUGGAAUUCCUGGUGUAGCGGUGAAAUGCGCAGAUACCAGGAAGAACACCCGUGGCGAAGGCGGCUCUCUGGGACGGUACUGACGCUGAGACGCGAAAGCGUGGGGAGCGAACAGG